rnacentral:misc_RNA from 1 species
AAGUCGUAACAAGGUUUCCGUAGGUGAACCUGCGGAAGGAUCAUUAGCAAAAGAAGGGGGGGUUGGGUGAAGGGGGGGGAUUGGUGGUGGUGGUGGUGUGUGGGAAAAGUUGGUAAUAAUGUUACAAGUUGUAAUGAUAUUGCAAGUUGUAAUAAUAUUAUAUACUGCUCACGCAUCAUAUGACCACCUAACCUCCUACCUACCUAACCUAACCUAACACAUUGACUCGGGCCGGCUUAUACACAAAAGACGGCCCUGAGACAUUCACGCUUGUUAGUGUAUGACUGAAUUAUAAAAUGAUGAAUUCAUAAUUAAAACAACUUUUAACAAUGGAUCUCUUGGCUCUU